CUUCUAGGAGCAGAUUUCAUCUUUCGUAAAAUGCAGCACCCAAAGUAAGCAUGCUGAAUCUUUACCCUCACCUCUGUCCAGAAAUAGAUGCAACUCAUGACUCCUUCCUACUCUGCCAUGACCUCAAAAACCAGCUACACCAUUCCCUGGAUGUUUCGUUCUAACACAAAGACUAUGAAGAGUUCCAGAAAGAACACAUCAGAUUGUCUGGUCUUGUUCUAGAAUUCCCACUCGAAAAAGAAGAGCACCAGGAAGAAGAGCAACAGAACCAGGCGCCCAGCAGAAGUUUGCUCUCAGGAGCACAGGCGUGGGACCAGGAUAUCUGCUGCAUGCAGCUUGAGUGAAAACAAGGCAGUAGAAACAAUGGUGAGAUCUGUCCUUAUGCUGGGAGAAAAAACACUCCAUGGAGUGCCCAGAUCCAAAGAUGACUCCUGAAGAUAAUGCCUGGGUGCUCCAGCUACCCCAUUGGGUCUUUGCCUCAGCGCUCUUUCUAUUUUCCCCUCCUCAAAUUUAUUCUUUCCUCACCCACUCUAGGCUGUCUCUCCCCUUUCUUUCUUUCUGAAGGGUUUGGCACGCUGCAGAGUAGAGCGCCAAUUAUGUUCGGCAUGUUGAUUUCACCGGAAUGGCUCUGGGUCCCCUUUGCAUUUGCUUUAUGCCAGGAACAAGGGCUGCUUCCUCAGCAACAUGCCGUGCCUCUUGGAAUGUUGUUUUGUUAAAAAAAAAAAAAGUGUUUCCAACUGCAUCUGGGGGCCCUAUAGACUGCAAAGCCCCCAAUCUGCAUCGGGUGAUCCAACACUUCCCCUAACAUAUCUGGCCUCUGAGCAGCCAAGGACUGUAGGGUCAAUUUUUUUUGCCAGCAUUUUUUAAAAACUUUGCGGGGGGGGGCAAUUUUGUCUUAUAUAAACCAUGGUUGAUUUUUAAACCAACGGUUGCACAUUGUCUUUUGAGAGCAAAUGGGGUGAUGUGCAUUGACCCUCUGACAUGAUGGAAGAGUUGCGUGAAAUGACCCUUGGUCUCAUGGAAUGAGGUAAUUAAGGCCGAUGUUGUAUAUCUAACUAGAACUGUCACCUCUUUUAAGGGGAAAAAAGGGAGGACAACCAUUUGUUUGGGUGACUUGACUGAAAUCAUGAUUUAAAUCAAUGCAGAGUUAAAAUAAAAUGUUAAAUCCAGAAAAGCAAUCAAGAAUGUGUUUGUGGGUGUGUGUAU